CUGCACUCAGGAGAGCUCUGCCUUACCCCUCACUGGAUUAGAAGAGCUGGAGCAGCCAGUGAACAAUAACAACGGUGACCUUCCAGAUGCUGAUCAUCCACUGAGUCGAGUGAAAAGGGGGAAGAUUCCAGGGGGGCCUAUCUGCUUUCCUUACUGCUACCCAACUGGUGAUGGAGUCGAGUGCGGUGUCCGCUGCAUUUUCCAGUAACAGACUUCCACGACAACUGCUUACUAUGAAUUUGUUGUGCUUUUUCUCUUAAAGCAAUUUCCACAUUUUCAAUUGUACAUGUGCUUCUUGAAAAUCAGAAGAUGUUACUGCAUUUGGUCAUGCUGGAGUUCAUAUGUUCAGUGAUGUGAUUGCAUCAUUGAAUAUCUGCAGAUACCACAGUGUUUUAUGACAAUAAACUUUUAUUUUACCUAUA